rnacentral:rRNA from 1 species
UACUUGGUGUGAAUUGCAGAAUCCCGUGAACCAUCGAGUCUUUGAACGCAAGUUGCGCCCGAAGCCAUUAGGCCGAGGGCACGCCUGCCUGGGUGUCACA